GACGUCGAUAUUCGACGUCAUAAACACGAGCAACUUCGGUGUUUAUGACGUCGAUAUUCGACGUCAUAAACACGAGCAACUUUGGUGUUUAUGACGUCGAUAUUCGACGUCAUAAACACGAGCAACUUCGGUGUUUAUGACGUCGGUAUUCGACGUCAUAAACACGAGCAACUUUGGUGUUUAUGACGUCGAUAUUCGACGUCAUAAACACGAGCAACUUUGGUGUUUAUGACGUCGAUAUUCGACGUC